rnacentral:rRNA from 1 species
UUGGAGGGCAAGUCUGGUGCCAGCAGCCGCGGUAAUUCCAGCUCCAAUAGCGUAUAUUAAAGUUGUUGCAGUUAAAAAGCUCGUAGUUGAAUUUCGAGAUCAAAUUGUUGGUCGUGCCUUGGUACGUACUGGCAUUAUUGAUUUCUCCCUUCUGAAGAACCACGAUGUCAUUAAUUUGGUGUCAUGGGGAAUCAGGACUGUUACUUUGAAAAAAUUAGAGUGCUUAAAGCAGGCUUACGCUUGAAUACAUUAGCAUGGAAUAAUGAAAUAGGACGUUUGAUUCUAUUUUGUUGGUUUCUAGGAUCGACGUAAUGAUUAAUAGGGAUAGUUGGGGGCAUUAGUAUUCAAUUGUCAGAGGUGAAAUUCUUGGAUUUAUUGAAGACUAACUACUGCGAAAGCAUUUGCCAAGGAUGUUUUCAUUGAUCAAGAACGAAAGUUAGGGGAUCGAAGACGAUCAGAUACCGUCGUAGUCUUAACCAUAAACUAUGCCGACUAGGGAUCGGAUGAUGUUAAUUUUUUAAUGACUCAUUCGGCGCCUUACGGGAAAC